rnacentral:rRNA from 1 species
GACGAACGCUGGCGGCGUGCUUAACACAUGCAAGUCGAACGGAAAGGCCCUGCUUUUGUGGGGUGCUCGAGUGGCGAACGGGUGAGUAACACGUGAGUAACCUGCCCUUGACUUUGGGAUAACUUCAGGAAACUGGGGCUAAUACCGGAUAGGAUCUACUGCUGCAUGGUGGGGGUUGGAAAGUUUCGGCGGUUGGGGAUGGACUCGCGGCUUAUCAGCUUGUUGGUGGGGUAGUGGCUUACCAAGGCUUUGACGGGUAGCCGGCCUGAGAGGGUGACCGGCCACAUUGGGACUGAGAUACGGCCCAGACGCCUACGGGAGGCAGCAGUGGGGAAUAUUGCACAAUGGGCGGAAGCCUGAGGCAGCAACGCCGCGUGCGGGAUGACGGCCUUCGGGUUGUAAACCGCUUUCGCCUGUGACGAAGCGUGAGUGACGGUAAUGGGUAAAGAAGCACCGGCUAACUACGUG